UACGUAGGUGGCAAGCGUUGUCCGGAUUUACUGGGCGUAAAGGGCGUGCAGGCGGUCUGUUAAGUGCAGGGUGAAAGCUCCCGGCUCAACUGGGAGAGGUCCUUGCAUACUGGCGGACUUGAGGGGGGUAGAGGAAAGUGGAAUUCCCGGUGUAGUGGUGAUAUGCGUAGAUAUCGGGAGGAACACCUGUGGCGAAGGCGGCUUUCUGGGCCCUACCUGACGCUGAGACACGAAAGCGUGGGGAGCGAACCGG
rnacentral:rRNA from 1 species